CCCAGCCCACACAGCCACGCAGAUAGUUAUCUGGGUGUUUCUCUCACUUCAGUAUCUCACCAGGCCCCUUGGUGCCUCAGUAACUACAUCCCUCUGGAGAGGGGCCAAGGAGAGUAUCAAAUAUCAAAUCCACUUUGAAACGUAGCUUGUCAGACUAACCAAGAAUGUUCCCGAACAAGUCUAUAAUCAGCACCGUGUUUCAUUAUUGCCUUUGGAGGGUUUGUUCUGGGAAGUUCUCUAAAUGGAGAGACCAAAAGGAAUUCAAGCAGGGAGCCCAUCACCUUGCCCUCCCGCCUUUCCUGUCAAAUCAAUUUCUAUUUGGUGAUCCAUUUUUUAAAUCUGUUUUCCUUCCACUUAUAGGUCCCCUUAAAAACCUCUUGUCACUUCCAUUUUGAUUUGCUCACCUUAAAUAGUCAAAGCACUCAUUUCAACAAACAUUUAGUGAGUUCCUGUGUUAUGUGAGAUACUGGUGAGGUCGGCAACACAAAGAUAAGUGAGAUGAGAAACUGGUCCUGUCCCACAACACACUGCGGCCGACGUGCGUGGACCAUUAUGACGGCACCCGGGAGGCGCUCCAUCUGAGGCUCAAUGAGCUGUCACAGAGGAGUACAGACAAGGGGGCACGUUCAGACCGGGGCAUGAGGAGGCUGGACCUUGGGCCCUGCGUGGGCAGUUGCCAGACCUGAAAUGCUGAGCAUGGACACGGGGACCCACAUGGGAGAAUGACAGUUUGACACGAGUGUGGGAAUGAGUCCAGCCGGGACAAGAAUCUCAGCAGCCCAGUGCCCACAGGUCAUCGGACAGGCAUGACAGUGACACUGUCCGAGAACUUGAUGCCGGCUCUGACUGGGGUACGGGUCACACUGCCACAUCCAGCACGGACUGCGGCACACACAUGCUGCUGGCACAGGGCAUCCCUGACACCUGGACUGCAGGAGAUACGGCAACAGGCUCAAUAAAACACACUGCCGUUGGAGAAAGAGGACACACUCAUUUGUGUCUGCGUCCUGGAACGGUGCCUGGCACACAGUCUGUCUUUAAUCAACACGGCCCAGACUGGACACCAGGAGAGGCUCGCAGAAAGGUGCUCACGUUUCACACAGAGGUAAGAAGGCCAGGUGUGAAGACAAAGACUGUUGGGUAUAUGACCCAUGUGAGAGGUAGCUAGUUUGUAAUGCUCUCUUUACACUCCACCUUCCUUCCAAAAAGACACACUGCAGUGCGACCCUGACAGAGAAGCCAGGACAAAACGUCAGGCAGAAGCUGGGACACCGGCAGAGGGAAACCAGGACCCAUCCUGAAAACACUAAGCCCAAGCUACAAAUUCCACUGUGUUUUCCAGGGGCUGGUAAGGAGAUUUCUGCUAUAACAGGUCAAACUGUUGAUGGAAUUAAGGGGGUCCUCAGCAGAAUUGAGGGUUGGCAUGGCAGUGUCUUUUCACUAAGGGCCGCCACACAGAAGAGAAUCAACUUCUACUGUGCUG